rnacentral:rRNA from 1 species
GUAGGUGGCAAGCGUUGUCCGGAAUUAUUGGGCGUAACGCGCGCGCAGGCGGUUCUUUAAGUCUGAUGUGAAAGCCCACGGCUCAACCGUGGAGGGUCAUUGGAAACUGGAGAACUUGAGUACAGAAGAGGAAAGCGGAAUUCCACGUGUAGCGGUGAAAUGCGUAGAGAUGUGGAGGAACACCAGUGGCGAAGGCGGCUUUCUGGUCUGUAACUGACGCUGAGGCGCGAAAGCGUGGGGAGCAAACAGGAUUAGAUACCCUGGUAGUCCACGCCGUAAACGAUGAGUGCUAAGUGUUAGGGGGUUUCCGCCCCCCUUAGUGCUGCAGCUAACGCAUUAAGCACUCCGCCUGGGAGUACGACCGCAAGGUUG